GACGAACGCUGGCGGCGUGCUUAACACAUGCAAGUCGAACGGAAAGGCCCUGCUUUUGUGGGGUGCUCGAGUGGCGAACGGGUGAGUAACACGUGAGUAACCUGCCCUUGACUUUGGGAUAACUUCAGGAAACUGGGGCUAAUACCGGAUAGGAGCUCCUGCUGCAUGGUGGGGGUUGGAAAGUUUCGGCGGUUGGGGUUGGACUCGCGGCUUAUCAGCUUGUUGGUGGGGUAGUGGCUUACCAAGGCUUUGACGGGUAGCCGGCCUGAGAGGGUGACCGGCCACAUUGGGACUGAGAUACGGCCCAGACUCCUACGGGAGGCAGCAGUGGGGAACAUGGCACAAUGGGCGGAAGCCGGAUGCAGCAACGCCGCGUGCGGGAUGACGGCCUUCGGGUUGUAAACCGCUUUCGCCUGUGACGAAGCGUGAGUGACGGUAAUGGGUAAAGAAGCACCGGCUAACUACGUG
rnacentral:rRNA from 1 species